rnacentral:lncRNA from 1 species
UAACUGUAUAUUUUGAACCCUCAUAUACAUUAAAUGUAUUUUUAUUAAAAUGCUAAUGUACAUUUUUAAAUAAAAAUCAAAAUAAAAACAAAUUUAAAUAACUAUAUAAUGAUAGCAGGGAAGAGUCAAGAGAAAUAGUGUAUUCAGAACAGCAUUAUAGAAAAUCUACAGCAGUUGACCCUAAAAUUACUUUUUAGGAUUCUCUUUAAAUAUUGUAGAUACUUCCUUUUCUUUCCAGUACACUGCUAAAACAGCUAUAAAAAAUUUAAAAAAAAUUAACCCACAAAAGGUAAAAAGAACAAGGAGGAGUCAUUAAGAGAUGAGAAAUUCAAACAAAUUUUUGUUAGUGGUUUUUAUUGACUUAGCAGAGAAAAGAAAGCUGUCUCCUGAAGUGGUGAAGGGAAUGAAUUGAUCACUUAAAGGGUCAUUAUUUGGAAAUACCAGGGACCAAAAGAGAGAGUAAGAACAGGAGGGGUGGUUGAGAGCCUGUAAAGGACAGAGGAGAGAAAGCCAGCCUGCGAACUCCAGGCCUCCUCGCUCGCGCUGCACAGUGAGGAACUCCUCUCCCAGCCACUCCUCCCCUCCCGCCAACAGGAGGUUGACCAACCAGCCAGGCGACCUCAGGUCAGAUAGAAGACAGUGGUGCUGCCAGGCCCAUGACCACGAAGGUUGGUGCGGAAGCCAUGGAUGAAUCGAUGGCCCUCGGACUCUCUGGAGCACAGGCGCAGACAGUAUUUAUACCCUCCAUCCUGCCCCUCACCUCCAGCCCGCACUCUGACAGAUGUAAUACAUAGUAAUCUACUGAAAGAUGUAUUAUAGCAAAAUGAGCAAGGAAUCCAAGGAAGACACCGGAUGCAGGAAAGAGGUGCUUUAACACAGGAGAAUGUCAAUCAAGUCCCCGGGCUACAGGUGUGUACCAGACCCAGCAGGAAGAACAGACCUGCCGCUGCAUUACAGCAGGAACGACAGACGAACGCAGAAGACUCUGCAUAUGAAAGACCAAGAGGGGCCAGCCCCGGGGCCGAGCAGUACAAACUUCCAUCAGAGGCAGAAAGGAUAAUCAAACUGCACUUAGAAAUCCCAGGUGAAAGAGUUCUUAGUCACAGAAUGUGGACGGUGUCUCCAGGAACUGGCAAGUCAACGUUUCAGGAAGCCACCCAGGAACGAUGCUGAUAAAUUCUAUCUCUGGUAUUUAAGUAUCUGGUGGCUGCUUUUAAGUAGGUAUGUGAAACAAUGUAUUGUUUCUCUGUGUUGAAUGAAAGCGUUGAGAUCCACCUCUAUCAGCUGAGGGAAGAGGGCAGGGUCACUUCAGCACAGCUGGAUUAAUUUUUCAAGCAUGUAAAGCAGUCCUGUGUGGAUAGGUAGCUCUUAACUACUUUGGGUCCCCUCUUUCCUGCGAGGGUGAUUGUGCCGCAGCGAAAAUGUGCUCUUCUACCUUUACAAGGGAAAUGGAGUCAGCAAGUUACACCCACCACCAUCGCGUGUGAAUCGAUGAUAGGCCGACAGGCUGCGCCCCACAGAUCCCUCCCUUUCUUCAUAGGAGAGCUCCAGGCAGUCAUCAGCCAUUGGUUGUCCAGCUAGAUAACAGAUCAGAUCAAUAUGCUGUUAUACUUUGACAGAAAAAAAUUGACAGCCACAUUGUUAACUUUUUACGAGUAAAGAAUAGCCUCAACAAACAGAAGACUUAGAACAAAGAACUUAGUGCCCUUUUUCGGGAGGAAUCAGUGUUGUCACUUACUGAUGCUAGUUAUCACAUACAUUCUGCAAAGCGGGUGCCACAUUUGAAAAUCCAAAGAUCAGGGAAAAUUCAGAGCUGUCUGUGGGUGACUGGUUGAUAUAAUAUUCACAUUUUCAAGCAAACUUUUAAGAAAAAUAUAUUUAUAUUUUGGACAUUUCUACCGCUUCAUCCCCACUAUUCCUACUUAGAACAAUCAUCCUUGGAGAUAAUAAAUCAUCUCCGACAAGACUGUGUCCUACA